CCGAGUUAUACAACUCAUCAACCCUGUGAACAUACCUAAAACGUUGCUUCGGCGGGAACAGACGGCCCUGUAACAACGGGCCGCCCCCGCCAGAGGUCCCCUAACUCUGUUUUUAUAAUGUUUUUCUGAGUAAACAAGCAAAUAAAUUA
rnacentral:misc_RNA from 1 species